CAGUCGCCGCGGUAAUACGAAGGGGGCUAGCGUUGUUCGGAUUUACCGGGCGUAAAGGGCGCGUAGGCGGACUGAUAAGUCAGGGGUGAAAUCCCAAGGCUCAACCUUGGAACUGCCUUCGAUACUGUUUGUCUUGAGUUCGAGAGAGGUAAGUGGAACUGCGAGUGUAGAGGUGAAAUUCGUAGAUAUUCGCAAGAACACCAGUGGCGAAGGCGGCUUACUGGCUCGAAACUGACGCUGAGGCGCGAAAGCGUGGGGAGCAAACAGGAUUAGAUACCCCAGUAGUCCCUGUCUCUUAUAC
rnacentral:rRNA from 1 species